GACAGAGGGGGCAAGCGUUGCUCGGAAUUACUGGGCGUAAAGGGUUCGUAGGCGGUGUGGCAAGUCGGAAGUGAAACCUCCAGGCUUAACUUGGAGACUGCUCCCGAAACUGCCAUGCUAGAGUGCGGGAGAGGCCAGUGGAAUUGCAGGUGUAGCGGUGAAAUGCGUAGAUAUCUGCAGGAACACCCGUGGCGAAGGCGGCUGGCUGGACCGCAACUGACGCUGAGGAACGAAAGCUAGGGGAGCAAACAGG
rnacentral:rRNA from 1 species